UUUGAAGCCUAGACAUCCCAUCAUCUAUAACUUGCUCCUACUUAGUUGUAUCCUCCAACUGUAGGACCUCAUCAAGGGGCUCUUGUUCCCCUUCAUCAGUCAGCAAUCGAUAUUGUAAAGAAGUUUCUCAGCCAGUCUCAAAAGUUUCUUGAAUAUCUGCAACAUCACCCUAUAAAUUGUUCUGCAACUCAACCUCAACUUCCACUUGUUUCACCUAUGGUUCCUCAACAACAGUCUUAGGAGUUACUUGAGUAUAUGCUACAACAUCACUAGGUGAAUCUUUUAGCAACUCAACCUCAACUCCUACUUGCUUCGUUGUCCCGGUACAUUUCUUCAAUUCUCUGGCAGUUUUUGUGAAGCUAACUUGUUUUUGUUUGCUCAUGACGCAGUUCUCACAAUGACUCAUAUCAAUAGAUUUCAGACCUUCCAAAACUCCUUCUGUAGCCAGCAUCUUUAUUCCUUUAACACUCAUAUAUCCAAAUCUAUUAUG